rnacentral:rRNA from 1 species
GUUUGAUCAUGGCUCAGAUUGAACGCUGGCGGCAGGCCUAACACAUGCAAGUCGAACGGUAACAGGAAGCAGCUUGCUGCUUUGCUGACGAGUGGCGGACGGGGGAGUAAUGUCUGGGAAACUGCCUGAUGGAGGGGGAUAACUACUGGAAACGGUAGCUAAUACCGCAUAACGUCGCAAGACCAAAGAGGGGGACCUUCGGGCCUCUUGCCAUCGGAUGUGCCCAGAUGGGAUUAGCUAGUAGGUGGGGUAACGGCUCACCUAGGCGACGAUCCCUAGCUGGUCUGAGAGGAUGACCAGCCACACUGGAACUGAGACACGGUCCAGACUCCUACGGGAGGCAGCAGUGGGGAAUAUUGCACAAUGGGCGCAAGCCUGAUGCAGCCAUGCCGCGUGUAUGAAGAAGGCCUUCGGGUUGUAAAGUACUUUCAGCGGGGAGGAAGGGAGUAAAGUUAAUACCUUUGCUCAUUGACGUUACCCGCAGAAGAAGCACCGGCUAACUCCGUGCCAGCAGCCGCGGUAAUACGGAGGGUGCAAGCGUUAAUCGGAAUUACUGGGCGUAAAGCGCACGCAGGCGGUUUGUUAAGUCAGAUGUGAAAUCCCCGGGCUCAACCUGGGAACUGCAUCUGAUACUGGCAAGCUUGAGUCUCGUAGAGGGGGGUAGAAUUCCAGGUGUAGCGGUGAAAUGCGUAGAGAUCUGGAGGAAUACCGGUGGCGAAGGCGGCCCCCUGGACGAAGACUGACGCUCAGGUGCGAAAGCGUGGGGAGCAAACAGGAUUAGAUACCCUGGUAGUCCACGCCGUAAACGAUGUCGACUUGGAGGUUGUGCCCUUGAGGCGUGGCUUCCGGAGCUAACGCGUUAAGUCGACCGCCUGGGGAGUACGGCCGCAAGGUUAAAACUCAAAUGAAUUGACGGGGGCCCGCACAAGCGGUGGAGCAUGUGGUUUAAUUCGAUGCAACGCGAAGAACCUUACCUGGUCUUGACAUCCACAGAACUUUCCAGAGAUGGAUUGGUGCCUUCGGGAACUGUGAGACAGGUGCUGCAUGGCUGUCGUCAGCUCGUGUUGUGAAAUGUUGGGUUAAGUCCCGCAACGAGCGCAACCCUUAUCCUUUGUUGCCAGCGGUCCGGCCGGGAACUCAAAGGAGACUGCCAGUGAUAAACUGGAGGAAGGUGGGGAUGACGUCAAGUCAUCAUGGCCCUUACGACCAGGGCUACACACGUGCUACAAUGGCGCAUACAAAGAGAAGCGACCUCGCGAGAGCAAGCGGACCUCAUAAAGUGCGUCGUAGUCCGGAUUGGAGUCUGCAACUCGACUCCAUGAAGUCGGAAUCGCUAGUAAUCGUGGAUCAGAAUGCCACGGUGAAUACGUUCCCGGGCCUUGUACACACCGCCCGUCACACCAUGGGAGUGGGUUGCAAAAGAAGUAGGUAGCUUAACCUUCGGGAGGGCGCUUACCACUUUGUGAUUCAUGACUGGGGUGAAGUCGUAACAAGGUAACCGUAGGGGAACCUGCGGUUGGAUCACCU